GGACUUAAAGAGGAGUCACCAACAUUUGAUUCCAUUCAAUUCACCCUUCACAAACCCUAAUUUUCAACCAGAGUGAGCAUGAAAGAUGGCACCAACUCUACCUCGGACUUUUUGAUGGAAUUCUUGGUAGCAGCUUGACUUGUCAGAGUUGCUCAUCCCAGAUCUCAAUUAACUUAAAACAAUUUGAUUGUUUGCCUC